GUUCUGCUUUAGAGGUGUGCAUGAAAGCUAAAUUCUGAUGUAGAUGUUAAGUAUUGUUUGAGGUAGAUAUAAUUGUGGUUGAUAUGUCAUCUCCUAUGAUCACGGAAGGUCUCCUUCAGCCCAUUAUCGACUUAUUAUUCUUUGCCUGCCAUUUCUAUUCAUCAGCCUAAAAAUUAACUAUACGGUUUAUAAAAUAUUAUUUUACCAA
rnacentral:lncRNA from 1 species